UUCCAUCUCACCCAAUCCAGAAAUUGCAGUUUUUGGCUGUGUACAUUCCAGAACUAUCCAUGCGACUGUGCGGGUGCCAAUCGACCUCGGAAUGAUGAUCACGAAAAGACUUAUUCUAAAGGAAUGGAAGUCCGCUGCUCCUCCCUCCUUCAGCGUCUGGCUCAAUGACAUGUUAUCAGUCAUUCAGCUGGAAAACGUUCGAUACCUGCACACCUGCAGCAAAUGUUUUCUUAAAAUCCUGGACUCCGUUUUUUACUCAUCUUGAGAAAGCUCACGUUGUAUAAACAUGUACCAUGGCACUGCAAUUUCCCUGUUUAUUACAUAUUCAUGACAUUUAAUUCAUUAGGGAUACUGGUAGUUUCUAAUUUUAAUGUUUUCUUUCUUUUUUCUUUUGUCUUUCCCUAUUGAUUAUUAUUAUUAUUGUGCUAUUUCUUGCCCUAUCAUCUCAGCGCCUGAGCUGUAUUUGUUUGUUGAUGGGGUUUUCUAUGCUGAAAAAAUUAAAAUAUUGAUAUAAAACAAACAAACAAAUUGUCCAUUUUUUUUUGUGUCUCUUUUUCAGAUUUUACUGCUAUUCAGCAAGUAGUUGGCGAGUGUUUACAGACAAGUCAACAUUUUUCAUAUAAACUAUAGGCAACCACAGCAAUCUGCAUGUGACCAAGCAAAUGCAGGGUAGUUUUCAUUGUAGCAUCAUAUACCUCUUUGCAACCAGUUUUGCCUAGCAACAGUAAGCAAUCUACCACAACCACUCAGGAACUAGCAGGGGAAUAUAAUUUCUCCCUAGCAACCGCUGGUUACCAGGGAAAUAAUGACUCUGGGACCUGGGAUUUAGCAGUCAAUUGCACAGCAAUUGCUUGCAACCUUCAGCAACCAGCUGGGGAACACUCUUUUCCCCCCAUCAACUGGUUGUUAGCAAGUGACUGAGGUGUUAGUGAAAACUACAUGUGUGAUAAAACAAAAGUGUGAUCUAUUUGUGUACAUGGACAGAAAUGUAGCUUUUUCUUGUGACAGUCAGGUUUACCAUAAAAAUAAAGUUUUGACUGGAAGUUUUUUUUUGUUUUGUUUUUUUGACGUACAAGCACCACUUUGUUUUUUUCUUGGUUUGUAAGGGUGUGCCACCCAGGCAGGCCAGAGAAAGUUUUACUAGUUACUCACACCGUGAAGUUUUCCUGACAGGAGUAGCAAUGAAAAUGCAAGAAGUAGAGGUGGUGAAGAUGGAUGAGUUUAAAUACCUGGGGUCAACCAUCCAAAGCAACAGAAAGUGCAUAAGAGAGGUGAAGAAGAGAGUGCAGGCAGGGUGGUGUGGGUGGAGCUGAAUGUCAGGGGUGAUUUGUGACAGAAGGAUAGCAGCAAGACUAGAAAGAAGGUUUACAAGAUGGUAGUGUGACCUGCUGUGAUGUAUAGUUGGAGACAGUGUCACUAAUAAAAAGACAAGAGGCUAAGCUGGAGGUGGCAG
ensembl:lncRNA